rnacentral:SRP_RNA from 1 species
UACCAGCCGGGGAGCCAGCGGUGCCCUGUACCCGAAAUCCGCUGCAGCGGGGGUUCAUUCCCCUUCAGAGGAAGGCGUCGAAGCGGUCUGCGGACCGUAUUCUGUGUUGAAGAACGGGUCCUGCGCAAUCGGGCACUGCGAACCAUGUCAGGUGGGGAACCAAGCAGCAUUAAGCAGCCGGUCCGGUGUGCCGCGGGAGUGCCUGUUCCGAGCAGGAGCCGGUUUUUACGCGCGGCGGCAAAUUUCG